AUGAACACGGGAUUUUUCUGUAAACCACUUCAUGAGGGAUGGCUGGACUUGCUGCCGACGAUGUUGUUCUCCUUGACGCACGCGAUCGCCUCGGCGCCGGUGAAACCUAGCCGCUGGAACGCCGUCGAGACGCUCCCGUCCUCCUCAGCGGCGUCGUCGUCGCAGCAUCCAGCACCAUUGGCGUACCGCCGCUGCGCCGUGAGCUCGAAUAGCACAGCCGGGAGAGCGCCGCUGAGGUUGUUGCCCGCGAGCCCCAAGAACUCGAGCUUCCGGAGCCUGCCGUAG
rnacentral:rRNA from 1 species